rnacentral:rRNA from 1 species
CAGUAGCCGCGGUAAUACGAAGGGGGCUAGCGUUGUUCGGAAUUACUGGGCGUAAAGGGCGCGUAGGCGGCCAUUCAAGUUAGAUGUGAAAGCCCUGGGCUCAACCUAGGAAUUGCAUUUGAUACUGUUUGGCUUGAGUUCGGGAGAGGUGAGUGGAAUUCCCAGUGUAGAGGUGAAAUUCGUAGAUAUUGGGAAGAACACCAGUGGCGAAAGCGGCUCACUGGACCAUUUCUGACGCUGAUGCACGAAAGCUAGGGGAGCAAACAGGAUUAGAUACCCGCGUAGUCCCUGUCUCUUAUAC